CUUCGUGUAUCAGUCAAAGUGCAGUGUUAGUGACAUAGUCUCAACAGAGUAGAAAUAAGUAAGUAAAUUUAAUAAAAUAAUAUUGGUUUAAGAUGUAGGAUACACAUUUGACAUGUUAGUGUGUGGUUGAAGGUCUCCAUGCUGUGGUUUUGUUAGAAGAAUACCAUCCUACACCAAAUCCCUUUGAAAUUUUAUUGUGGAAAAUUAAAUGUCUUGGUUAUAAUAAAAUUUUGUUUCUUCUCUUUCAAAUAAAAACCACAAAAUGGAAAAAGCAUACACCUUUUGGAUGAAUUUAUCAUGUCUUGAAAUACAAUUCAUAAAAUAAGUAAAAU
rnacentral:lncRNA from 1 species